CAUGGGCGCAGCCCUGAAUGCAGCCAUGGCCGCGUGUGGUGAAGAAGGCCUUCGGGUUGUAAAGCACUUUCAGCUCAGGAGGAAAGGGUGUGAGUUAAUACCUCACAUCUGUGACGUUACUGACAGAAGAAGCACCGGCUAACUCCGUGCCAGCAGCCGCGGUAAUACGA
rnacentral:rRNA from 1 species